UGCCUCAUGGUAGCCUCCCAGGGGAGA
rnacentral:piRNA from 1 species